ACUUGCUUACUAGAAUAGGAUCUAUUCUAUAGGCUCGUACCUCUCUAUCCUUGAGUUCUAAGGAGACAGGUUAUCAAGUCCGGUGGAUGAAUCAUGAUUGUGUGAUUAGAGCGUGAUUAACAACCCCCAUGAUUUUAUGGUCAUUGGUGCAGUAGAGGAUCAUUCUUAGCCAUCUACAUAUAUAGUUGCGAUGAUCAUUGUGGUUGUCUGAAUU